rnacentral:lncRNA from 1 species
AUUUAUUAUAAUAAUAUUUUGUUCAAUCAAGAUUUGACAGAUUAAGUUUAAGCUUUAAAACAUAUACAUGUUUGAAACAAGCCCUAAUAAAUAACGACUAUCAAAAAACUAUCUAAGUAAACUAAUCUGUUUAUCUUGAUUAUUACAUGUUGUGCGUUCGAGAUAUUUAUUUAAUGAUUAUUAAUCUGGUAAUUAAAACCAAAUUUAAUUAUGACGAAGUAAAUAGAUCUUGUCCGUGCUUCAUGGACCCCAUAUCGGCUAAAUAACCGAUCCGAUUAAGCUCCAACGAAUAGCGCACGUGUGUAAAAUCGAUUAUGAAAUUAAAUGAAAUAGUAUUUUAUGUUAAAUUUAUUGAAGCUCACUAGCCUUUAGACCAGGUGAAUGUAAAUUUAAUACAUUUAUGAAAAUAAUUUAUUAAAACCAUAAGCCUUUAGACCAAUUUUAAUGAGUUAUUGUUUAUUAAACGAAUAAGAGAAUAAACAUGUAUAAACUAUUUCCUAUGUACGAAUAACAUAUCGGCUAAAUAGUCGAUCUAGUUAUUUUUGCUCGUGAUCCAAUUUGAACAGCAAAUGUCAUAACGCAUUAUCAUUAUAUUAUCAUUAGCAGUUGACUUUUUAGUCAAUUUUCUUUGGUUAACGGCUACUUUGGGCCACAUAUUCUGGAACUAUCUAACAGCAACUAGCGGGUUCCAUAAUUUGACAUUUGUGUUUUUCUCCGUUGUCAAUUUCAGAUUAAAUUGAUUGGCAUGCCACGGAUUCAAGUCACCAAACUAAGCUUAUGUGUUGAGGUUUAGGAGGUCUAGAACUCUAGCUUUUAUAUGCUCUCUGAGAGUCUUCGAGUGUGUUGAGCAAGAAGCAACUUUUUUGUACCAGCAACUGGG